AGUAAUUCUGCAGCGUUAGACUGUUAGACUCUAUGCACUAGAAGAAUUAUUGAAUUAAUUCUUAUUUGAAAUAUAGUUUUGUUAAUUAACACUUUUAAGCAUUAUAAUUUAUAGCAAGGUUGAGUUUUUAAUUGAUUUUUUAAUUUAAAAUACGCCCGUGUCGUGAACAAUGUUAAUAAAGAGCUUGAUUUGACGAAGCAAUCAUGUAAUUGAUAUUUAAUACGUGUGAUGAGUGAACUAAGCUACACCAGUUCUUAUUAUAUCUGCCGUCAUGUAAGAAUGCAAUUUCAAACCAGACGAUGUGAAGAAAGGAAGGGCCUUCGCCAAUCUCACUGUGCAGUUGAGACUGUGUCAGCCGGUUUGUCAAAGUAAAGCUCUACAGACAGCACCAACUCGCACAAUUUUUGGCCUGACAUCACAACAGGGAAAAAUCAUAGUCAAUUCCAAAGAUAAUCGAAUUAAGCUUGGACCAAAGUGUUGAGAACUAAACAAGCAACAAAAUAAAGCGUGUUGCGGAAAACGA